UACGGAGGGUGCAAGCGUUAUCCGGAUUCACUGGGUUUAAAGGUGCGUAGGUGGGCAGGUAAGUCAGUGGUGAAAUCUCCGGGCUUAACCCGGAAACUGCCGUUGAUACUAUCUGUCUUGAAUAUAGUGGAGGUGAGCGGAAUAUGUCAUGUAGCGGUGAAAUGCUUAGAUAUGACAUAGAACACCCAUUGCGAAGGCAGCUCGCUACACUAUCAUUGACACUGAGGCACGAAAGCGUGGGGAUCAAACAGG
rnacentral:rRNA from 1 species